UUUCUUCUCAUUUGUCGCACAAAUGAUCAACCCUCUCAUGGAGUUGGCGAUAAGGAUAGGAUAAGGAUAAGAACUAGGUAGUUCUAAGUCAAAUUCAAACCAUUUGAAUUCGAACAUGAACCAAACUUAUCCUAAUCCAAAAGAGACCAGAGAGUGGGCGAUAAACCUCUUCUGGGUAUGAGAAACCUUCAUGUAAAAAAUAUUUCUCACAUGAGGAAGAGAUGGGCGC
rnacentral:lncRNA from 1 species